GCGGCGGUAGAUGAACUUGAUUAGGCAGACGCGUGAGAUCAAAGUGGCCGGGACCAAAGCGGACAGGGUCCAACGUGCCAGCACUGCCAAGAGAAGGCCUUUUGUACUCAGGUUAAAUAAGAACAUCCUGCAAGGAGUCUGUUCUUUUAUGCAGCCUAAAGAUCAAGUAAUAAUCAUUGACACUGAUACUGAGCAUGUCGAUUUUGAAGAGACUAGCAUUUCCUGGUAAUGAAGUGGAGUAUAUAUCCAUAUAUUUCUGUUUUCUGGAUGAGAAGACUAACCUAACUAAGUAGGAACCUUGAAGAAUCAUGUUCUUCCUAGGAAUUACAAAUCCCCCGAUUCCAUGUCUAACAUAAUUUCUACUGGCCUCUUUGCUUCUCAUGCUUUAGUACCAGUGCUUCUGAAUUUGAAAGUCUUCAUGCAAAUUGCCCAGGUUUGCUGGCAGCUGUGUCUCAGAAAAAGCUGUCUUCAGCAAGGCAGAAGCAGGUAAGAGAAAUACAUUAGAAGUCUAUAUCCCAUCCUGAGUUGUCAUCAGGUGGUGGUUCAUCGUUGUCCUCAGGGAAACUGUCAAAAUUACUUGUGUCUGUGGGUGAUGCAACCUGUAAAAAAUGGACAGGUUUUUUUUAGUGGAUUUUUUUUAGUGGAAUUCCAAGCUGGAAUUUUUAAGUGCAUUCUGUAUUUAUUCCCUAUUAGUGACUAUUUCAUUGAGUAUCUACUAUGUAGCAGGUAUUGAGGGUCACAGUGGUAAGUACAAGCAGACAUGGUUCUUAUCCUUGGAGAGUUUAUACCCUUGUGAGUAAUAAACUGUAUGAUUAAAACAAAUAAUCACUAAAAUCUUUCUAUAUAAUAAACUUUGGCUAGAGCUAUGGAAACAAAGAUGCCAUGAAAGUAUAAGAGUGAUCAUGUAGCGUGAUGCCUCCAGCUUUGUUCUUUGGCUCAGGAUUGACUUGGCGAUGCAGGCUCUUUUUUGGUUCCAUAUGAACUUUAAAGUAGUUUUUUCCAAUUCUGUGAAGAAAGUCAUUGGUAGCUUGAUGGGGAUGGCAUUGAAUCUAUAAAUUACCUUGGGCAGUAUGGCCAUUUUCACGAUAUUGAUUCUUCCUACCCAUGAGCAUGGAAUGUUCUUCCAUUUGUUUGUUUCCUCUUUUAUUUCAUUGAGCAGUGGGUUGUAGUUCUCCUUGAAGAGGUCCUUCACAUCCCUUGGAAGUUGGAUUCCUAGGUAUUUUAUUCUCUUUGAAGCAAUUGUGAAUGGGAGUUCACUCAUGAUUUGGCUCUCUGUUUGUCUGUUAUUGGUGUAUAAGAAUGCUUGUGAUUUUUGUACAUUGAUUUUGUAUCCUGAGACUUUGCUGAAGUUGCUUAUCAGCUUAAGGAGAUUUUGGGCUGAGACAAUGGGGUUUUCUGUAUAUAUAAUCAUGUCAUCUGCAAACAGGGACAAUUUGACUUCCUCUUUUCCUAAUUGAAUACCCUUUAUUUACUUCUCCUGCCUAAUUGCCCUGACCAGAACUUCCAACACUAUGUUGAAUAGGAGUGGUGAGAGAGGGCAUCCCUGUCUUGUGCCAGUUUUCAAAGGGAAUGCUUCCAGUUUUUGCCCAUUCAGUAUGAUAUUGGCUGUGGGUUUGUCAUAGAUAGCUCUUAUUAUUUUGAGAUAUGUCCCAUCAAUACCUAAUUUAUUGAGAGUUUUUAGCAUGAAGGGUUGUUAAAUUUUGUCAGAGGCCUUUUCUGCAUCUAUACUACAAGGCUAGAGUAACCAAAACAGCAUGGUACUGGUACCAAAACAGAGAUAUAGAUCAAUGGAACAGAACAGAGCCCUCAGAAAUAACGCCGCAUAUCUACAACUAUCUGAUCUUUGACAAACCUGAGAAAAACAAGCAAUGGGGAAACGAUUCCCUAUUUAAUAAAUGGUGCUGGGAAAACUGGCUAGCCAUAUGUAGAAAGCUGAAACUGGAUCCCUUCCUUACACCUUAUACAAAAAUUAAUUCAAGAUGGAUUAAAGACUUAAACGUUAGACCUAAAACCAUAAAAACCCUAGAAGAAGACCUAGGCAUUACCAUUCAGGACAUAGGCAUGGGCAAGGACUUCAUGUCUAAAACACCAAAAGCAAUGGCAACAAAAGCCAAAAUUGACAAAUGGGAUCUAAUUAAACUAAAGAGCUCCUGCACUGCAAAAGAAACUACCAUCAGAGUGAACAGGCAACCUACAAAAUGGGAGAAAAUUUUCGCAACCUACUCAUCUGACAAAGGGCUAAUAUCCAGAAUCUACAAUGAACUCAAACAAAUUUACAAGAAAAAAAACAAACAACCCCAUCAAAAAGUGGGCCAAGGACAUGAACCGACACUUCUCAAAAGAAGACAUUUAUGCAGCCAAAAAACACAUGAAAAAAUACUCAUCAUCACUGGAUCACUGGCCAUCAGAGAAAUGCAAAUCAACACAACAAUGAGAUACCAUCUCACACCAGUUAGAAUGGCGAUCAUUAAAAAGUCAGGAAACAACAGGUGCUGGAGAGGAUGUGGAGAAAUAGGAACACUUUUACACUGUUGGUGGGACUGUAAACUAGUUAAACCAUUGUGGAAGUCAGUGUGGCGAUUCCUCAGGGAUCUAGAACUAGAAAUACCAUUUGACCCAGCCAUCCCAUUACUGGGUAUAUACCCAAAUGACUAUAAAUCAUGCUGCUAUAAAGACACAUGCACACGUAUGUUUAUUGCGGCACUAUUCACAAUAGCAAAGACUUGGAACUAACCCAAAUGUCCAAGAAUGAUAGACUGGAUUAAGAAAAUGUGGCACGUAUACACCAUGGAAUACUAUGCAGCCAUAAAAAUGAUGAGUUCAUGUCCUUUGUAGGGACGUGGAUGAAAUUGGAAAUCAUUUCUCAGUAAACUAUCGCAAGAACAAAAAACCAAACACCGCAUAUUCUCACUCAUAGGUGGGAACUGAACAAUGAGAACACAUGAACACAGGAAGGGGACCAUCACACUCUGGGGAC
ensembl:lncRNA PRKG1-AS1 PRKG1 antisense RNA 1